GAUUUCUGAGACAGAAUGAUCAGGGUCAGAGAUGACAUUUAGGAUGACAAGUUUAAGGGUAAUUGGUUGUUACAAGAGACAAGAAAGAGCAAUAGUGAAAAUAAACACAGGCACAAAGCAGAAGCAUUUUCUUCCACUUCAACAGAGCUCCUAUGCCUAAACAGGGCAGGGGAAUUGUGGAUGUCACAGUGCCGGUAACAGUAAAGCCAAGUGACAUGAGUCUGUCUAUGUAACAAACCUGCACAUGUACUCCUGAAUCUAAAAUAAAAAUUUAAAAAAUAAAAAAAAAAAAAAAAAAAAAAAAAAAAAAAAAAAAAA
rnacentral:lncRNA from 1 species